rnacentral:rRNA from 1 species
AGUGAACGCUGGCGGUAGGCCUAACACAUGCAAGUCGAACGACAGCACAGUAAGAGCUUGCUCUUACGGGUGGCGAGUGGCGGACGGGUGAGGCAUACAUCGGAAUCUACUUUUUCGUGGGGGAUUACGUAGGGCCGCUUACGAUAAUAGCUCAUACGUCCUACGGGAUAGAUCAGGAGAUCUUCGCACCUUUCCUGUCUCUAUGAGCCGAUGUCGGAUUAGCUAGUUGGCGGGGUAAAGGCCCACCAAGGCGACGAUGCGUAGCUGGUCUGAGAGGAUGAUCAGCCACACUGGAACUGAGACACGGUCCAGACUCCUACGGGAGGCAGCAGUGGGGAAUAUUGCGCAAUGGGCGAAAGCCUGAUCGAGCCAUGCCGCGUGGGUGAAGAAGGCCUUCGGGUUGUAAAGCCCUUUUGUUGGGAAAGAAAAGCAGCAGGUUAAUACCCCGAUGUUCUGACGGUACCCAAAGAAUAAGCACCGGCUAACUUCGUG